UUGAAAAGGGUUCCAUGCUCACUUAAAUUGGAAUGGUACAGAGAAGAUUAGCCUGGACCCUGAGCAAGGAUGACAUGCAAAUUCAUGAAGCAUUCCAUAUUUCU